UAAUAAAGUGUUUGAUAUUUGUGAAAUGUGUACAUGUAUAUGUGUGAUAAUUAUUAAUAAAAUAUAAUAAAUAUGUAAGGUAUUUAUUAUUGAGGUAUAAGGCCCUCGCGACCUUUUACCUGCGUCCGUGCGUAUAUAUAUAUUCGUUACCGGCGAUCCCGUGCGCGUGUUUGUAUAUUGGUAUGUGUAUGUCUUUGUACCUGUGAGUAUAUUUCACUGACGAACGUGACAUGUGACUGUAACAAAGUUGUUUGAUUGGUUGAAAGUUCUUAUCUGUGGUUUUAGUCUUUGUUUCUUUGUGUUUCGGGACAUUUGAAUUUCGACGUCAUUGAAGCCGGAGCUACAAAAUGUAGGUCUUCGAAUUCAUCUGUCACCAUAUAGAGUCGUAUUCCUGUAUUGUUUACAUCUGUUGUGCGGUAUAUGACGGUCAUGGAAGUGAGCAGUGUUAAGCCUCACGUUGAUGCACUAUACGUGUUAACGUGGGUUUUUGAGUAAUAAUAAAACCUUUGAAAUCAAACGAA